UCGGAAUAGAAAAACGAAAAUCAAUUCAAUGGAUUAUCAAUAUAUUCAAAUGGAUUCUUAAUAACAUCAAGUACAAAGAAAAAGCAGAACGAUAAUUGGAGUUGUGUAGGAAUAAAGAACGAAAAUUGGUCAACAAUUAAGGAGAACAAAGAAAAUUGAUUAUAAUCACGACAACAAUUAAGGGUCACUAUUUGUGAACUUUAUUUUCUGCAACUAAAGUGUUAGAAACACUUGAUAAUUAUUUCAUCAUGAAUUAAUCAGUGACACCAAUGGUAUUAAUCAUCAACUAUUUCAAGAUUCAAUGGUAAAAAGGAUGAUUAACUAAUUGAUUAUAAUCAAUUGAUUUCUAGUAAAAUAAAUAAAAAGGUUUAAAAACCUAAAGGUUGUUAAUCCACUGGCACAAUGUUAAUAUGGUUCAAGUGGCAAAGUCCAAGGAUAAUUUGAUUAAGUAGUCUCAAUGGAAAGAGAAAGUUUUGUUUUUCUUAACGAUGAGAUUUUUACACAGACACGUUGUUGAUUUGGAAAACAAAAAUUAACUGAUUGAUGGUAAAUUAUCUGAUUAACCAUGACUCGAUUCAACUAUCGGAAUAUGUCUGAUUACUUAUUUCUUUUACUCACCAAUCAUCAUUAUCAUCAUCAUCAUAUGUAAUACUUAUGGAUCUUUCUUCAUGUAAACAUGAUAUUUUUUUUGCUGUAAAAACAAAAUUUACAUUUAAUCAAGGUUACUGAGUAGUUAUCAUGGUUAAAACGGAUCCAGAAAUUUGAAUCAAUCAGUUGAACCACAACAACAAUUAAGGUAGAGGGAGAGUGAUCAGAAUCAUGGUUAACUCGUCAAAUAUAUUACAACAAAAAAUAAUGUUUAAUUUGAUUAUCAUCUCUUUUUUUUGUGGUUCAUGAUUAUUCAAUCACAAUCAACAGGGAACAAUUUAUUUAAUCAUUUUCAUCAUUAUCUCUUAUACUUUGUGUUGUUGUUGUUAGUGGUUAGUUAAUUGUUUACAAUCUUGUUGUUACUUUCUCUCAUUAACUUUCCAUUUAUCUCACCCUCGAAUUAAUUAAUUGUCAAUUGUGUCAACAAUCAAAAAAUUUUCGUGAUCCCGUUCAUGAUUAUUGAUGAUUAAUCUUUACCAUUGAUUGUAAUAAUUAACUUUAAUUUUGAUUGUGUGAGUAUCUUUUUAAUUCAGUUACCUUUGACUUGUGUCACCUUAAAUUAAUCAAUCAGUUUGUUUUUGAUUAUUAUCCAUUAUAUUGAUUGUGUAAGAUUUAAUUUUCGUAAUCAGAAAAUUAAUUCAUUUCCAAUCAAAUUAAUCUCUGUGAAAAAAACAACUAUUAAAACGUACAAUUAAUUUUCACUGAUUAGACGAUUUGUUAAUUGUUCAUCAUUGAUGAUCAAUUUAUGCAAAUAAGGUUUUUAAUCACGAAAAAUUGAUUGAUAACAAUUAAAUUUCAAUAUCAACCUUUUCUCUUAUAAAUUGUGGUAACAAUUAAAUAACUUUUUCUCUGGUUAAUUGUUGAAUCGUAAGUUAAAUCAACGGUAAUAAGGUAACUAGAUUUACAAUUAAUCAAGCCAAACAUUUAAACAUAAUUGUUUCACACUCACAAUUAAUUGAUUGUACUUAUAUACUAUUUGAUGAUUAACCAAAAAAAUUCAUUAACCUUUUCACCUUGAUUAACAAUUUAGUCAAAUUAAUUAACGAUAACAAUUAACAAAAAUGCAAUUUCAGUUGAUUAACUUUCAGUGGAAAAUGAAUAUUAAUCAUUAAUGUAAUUAACUAAUCGUCCACAAUUGUAGCACUUUGAUUUUUUGGUUAAUUGUGAUGAUUAAAAUUAAAUGACUUGUCAAUAUUUUGGCUAAAUUAUGAUCUAAUAUUGAAAAUUAAUGUUAAUCAACUUUCAACUUUUUCUGUACUUUUGAUUACAACAAUUAACUUUCAUAAUCUAAAAAUAUUGAUUUCGUCAUGUUUAGUUAAUUAGUUGAAAACUAAUUGUAAAUUUUAAGUGUCAAUAAUGUCAACAAUUAAUGAUAAUAAUACAAUUCUGAGUCAAUCCUUAGGUAAAAUUAUCAUUAUCAUGAUUGGCUAAUUGUUAACAAUUAGUCUCAAUCUUUGUUUAUCUCAACAAUUAAUUGUAACAAAGAAUGACGUUAAUUCAUAACAAUCAAAAUUAAUCAUAGCCCACUAAUUAGGAGCCAAAAUGACAGGAAUAACUAAAAAUAAUAACAACAAUUAACUUAAUCACUCUGGUCAUCAAUAUAUAUUUUAUGUUACAAUUAAUUGUGAUUAACUCAUCACAAUAAAUACAAUAUUUAUUUCCGGAUUAAUUGAUUGAUAAUCAAUUUGAUCUUAACCAAUUUCUCAAUCAAAAAAAAGAAUCAAAUUAAAUGAUUAUAACAAUUAAAUGAACUCACAUAUUAAAUGAUGUAAAUAAUUAUAAUUAGAUUGACGGAACAAUUAACUAAUCAACGUUGAAAAGAAGAUCACAAUUUGUUGAUUGUAAACUACAAUUAACGUCAAGACAAUUUAAAUCACAUAUAAAUAUUAAUUGUGUAGGUAUAUUAACAAUUAACAGUUAACACCUACAUUAAUUGUGAUUUAAAUUUCUGCUCAUCUCUUUGGGUGAUUACAAUUUAAAUUAUUUGAGCGUCGGAGUAUCAACAUAAUCAUCAUUAAAUUGUUUUCAAUUAAAUAUUUAAUCAAUUGUUGUCUUAUUGUUAAUUAAAAUUGUAACCAAAAAGUAAAAGUUUAGGUCAGUAUAAAAGGUAAAGGCGUUAACCAACAAUUAACAACAACAACAACAACAACAAUCAAGGGAACGAGUUACAAUUAAACUAAUCAACAUCCCCUUAAUUGUAAACAUUAACAAUAAAAAUCUUAUCAAACUGAAUUAACUUUUGUAAGGUUAAAUUUUCUUGUAUUUUUUGAUACAAUGUUUUUGUUAAUUGUACUUUUUAAUAGUAACAAUUUAUUACUUUUUUUUUACAAACCAACCAGAACAACUCUCACAACAAUUAACAACAGCAAUCAAAGUUAAUUAAAGAGACUGAGUUGAUUAUUAGAUUGAUGAUUAAUAAUGUAUAUAAAUAGUUGGUGAUAUUUUAAAUUUUCAUCUAUAUUUAUAUUGUAUUUGGAUUUUUGUAUUAGUCAAGUUUAAGGAUAAUCAUCAAUUGGAUUAACUUUAAUCAGUUUAACACCAAAAGCCAAAAUGAUGAGGAUGCCAAGAAGAUGAAGAUGAAAUUGAUAUUGCAAUUGAUGAUGAUGAUGAUGUACAAGACAAGGUAAUCAAAGGUUUCUUCAAGGGAUAACUCUUGUGAUACUAACUGAAUUAGUAAAUUGUAAUCAUUUAACUUGUCAUCAAAAUGUAUAUACACUGUUAAUUGAAAGAUGAUAACUUUUUGGCUCAUCUUCAUCAUCAUCUUCAUCAUCAUCUUCAUCAACGAUUGAUUGAAACUAAUUUAACUAUUUGACAGUUUUUGGCAUCACAAUCCAAGGAUUUCACAAAAUUAUCCGCAAUUAACAUUAACAUUCAAUGUUCCCAUAUAAUCAUUAUCAUUUAAUUAACAGUUAAUUGUUGGAAUUUAUCAUUGUUUCAUACAAUUAAACUCAUGCUAUUGAUUAAACAAUAAGUAAUUUCUAGUGAUGAAAAUAAAUUUUAAACCAAUCCUAAAAUUAUCAGAGACAAUUAAACUUAACCAAUUGAAUGAAAUUGAUUGUUACCUUGAUUCUUGUAACUCUCCUUUUAAAUUGAAUAAUUUAUUUAAUCAUCAUCACUAAUUAAUUUAACAUACUCUUGAUUAUUAGUAGUAGUAUAGCAACAGCUAUUAAAUUAAUUGUAAUAAUCAUAAUUAACAAUCAAAUAAAAAAUAAUCAUUUACAUAAA